rnacentral:rRNA from 1 species
CCUACGGGAGGCAGCAGUGAGGAAUAUUGGUCAAUGGACGAGAGUCUGAACCAGCCAAGUAGCGUGAAGGAUGACUGCCCUAUGGGUUGUAAACUUCUUUUAUAUGGGAAUAAAAUGUUCCACGUGUGGGAUUUUGUAUGUACCAUGUGAAUAAGGAUCGGCUAACUCCGUGCCAGCAGCCGCGGUAAUACGGAGGAUCCGAGCGUUAUCCGGAUUUAUUGGGUUUAAAGGGAGCGUAGGUGGAUUGUUAAGUCAGUUGUGAAAGUUUGCGGCUCAACCGUAAAAUUGCAGUUGAAACUGGCAGUCUUGAGUACAGUAGAGGUGGGCGGAAUUCGUGGUGUAGCGGUGAAAUGCUUAGAUAUCACGAAGAACUCCGAUUGCGAAGGCAGUUCACUGGACUGCAACUGACACUGAGGCUCGAAAGUGUGGGUAUCAAACAGGAUUAGAUACCCGAGUAGUC